rnacentral:rRNA from 1 species
GCUUCUUUUCCCACCGGAGCUUGCUCCACCGGGAAGAGAGGAGUGGCGAACGGGUGAGUAACACGUGGGUAACCUGCCCAUCAGAAGGGGAUAACACUUGGAAACAGGUGCUAGUACCGUAUAACAAUCGAAACCGCAUGGUUUCGUUUUGAAAGGCGCUUUACGGUGCCGCUGAUGGAUGGACCCGCGGUGCAUUAGCUAGUUGGUGAGGUAACGGCUCACCAAGGCCACGAUGCAUAGCCGACCUGAGAGGGUGAUCGGCCACAUUGGGACUGAGACACGGCCCAAACUCCUACGGGAGGCAGCAGUAGGGAAUCUUCGGCAAUGGACGAAAGUCUGACCGAGCAACGCCGCGUGAGUGAAGAAGGUUUUCGGAUCGUAAAACUCUGUUGUUAGAGAAGAACAAGGGUGAGAGUAACUGUUCACCCCUUGACGGUAUCUAACCAGAAAGCCACGGCUAACUACGUGCCAGCAGCCGCGGUAAUACGUAGGUGGCAAGCGUUGUCCGGAUUUAUUGGGCGUAAAG